GUUGAUGUUGCACCACUUGCUGCUGGUGCACUGCCGCCGAAUGUUGCAAGUGCUGAUUGAGCAAGGCAGCUGCUGCCGCUUGAUUGAACUGUGCCAGACGCUGCUGCUGCUGCUGUUGCUGCUGCACUUGUUGCUGCUGCUGCUGUUGCAGUUGUGGCUGCUGUGCUGCCGCUACUGCGUAAGCAACUUGUUGCUGUUGCACCUGCUGCUGCUGCUGCUGUUGCUGCUGCUGCUGCUGCUGAUGGUGGGCUGCAACGGCGGCCGCAAACUGUGUGGGAUGGGCAAAGCUCAGC
rnacentral:sRNA from 1 species